AGAGUUUGAUCCUGGCUCAGGACGAACGCUGGCGGCGUGCUUAACACAUGCAAGUCGAACGGAAAGGCCCUUCGGGGUACUCGAGUGGCGAACGGGUGAGUAACACGUGGGUGAUCUGCCCAGCACUUUGGGAUAAGCCUGGGAAACUGGGUCUAAUACCGAAUAUGACCAUGCACUUCCUGGUGUGUGGUGGAAAGCUUUUGCGGUGUGGGAUGGGCCCGCGGCCUAUCAGCUUGUUGGUGGGGUGAUGGCCUACCAAGGCGACGACGGGUAGCCGGCCUGAGAGGGUGACCGGCCACACUGGGACUGAGAUACGGCCCAGACUCCUACGGGAGGCAGCAGUGGGGAAUAUUGCACAAUGGGCGCAAGCCUGACGCAGCGACGCCGCGUGAGGGAUGACGGCCUUCGGGUUGUAAACCUCUUUCAGCACAGACGAAGCGCAAGUGACGGUAUGUGCAGAAGAAGGACCGGCCAACUACGUGCCAGCAGCCGCGGUAAUACGUAGGGUCCGAGCGUUGUCCGGAAUUACUGGGCGUAAAGAGCUCGUAGGUGGUUUGUCGCGUUGUUCGUGAAAACUCACAGCUUAACUGUGGGCGUGCGGGCGAUACGGGCAGACUUGAGUACUGCAGGGGAGACUGGAAUUCCUGGUGUAGCGGUGAAAUGCGUAGA
rnacentral:rRNA from 1 species